UUUUGGAGGGUCUUAGAGGUGCACACUUAGGCCGUAAAAACCGGACAACAGGGUUCCCAAGAAGUGGAUCAAAGGCAAUUGGUGAAUCUUACCUGGUCAGUUUUCUAAGGCAGUUGCUGUCAGACUUCUUUCUUACUCACUCCCCUUUCUCUGUAAUUGUCGAAAAGUCCUAGUGGAGACUGAAGUCACGUAUUCAGCUGUGCUCCUCCCCAUCUCUCCUCAACAUUCUCAUUUAUUGAGCCAGAAUGAAUACCAGGCUUUGAAGAAAUAAAAGUAGCUUCUCCUCAUUAAAUCUUGUGGGAAAUCCUGACAUUAGAAUUCAUCUGCAGCUAACCAUUCCACCCUGUGGUCUUUGGGUUUUGAAUUCCAUUGAAGUUUUCUGUCAAUCUAAAUAUUUCCUCCAUCCUCAUUUUAUCUCACAUUUCUAGUUUAGAGGGAAGGACAUCAACUGAUACUCUGUUUUGUUGGAAUAAGUAGAAUCGUAGGGCCCUGAAAUUUCACAAGUCAUUGUUUCCAACUUGAUUGAAGAAUCUUUCCCACAAGAUACAAAACAAUAUGCUCCAUGGUUAACAGAGGAUCAGCAAAAAAAUUGGCAUGAUUAGUUACACAACCAACCAGUAGAAAUAACUGUGUUUCCAAAAUACAAAUAGAGAGCAUCUCAAGGCACAAAGAGGAACAUUGGCAUAAAGUCUUAGAGCUCUCAGGACCCUGCUGCAGAGCAGUGCUACGUCAGGCUAGGCGAGGCAUUUACUGAGUUGUGUAGGCUUGCUGGAGAUAGAGGGGCCAUGUGUACAGGUGUAGCAGCCACCCUGAGGCAAGACUCCAGAACAGCACUGUCCCAUGGAGCCUUCUGCAAUGAUGGAAAUGUUCUAUAUCUGCAGUGUCCAAUAUGCAGAUAUGGUGGCUAAUGAACACAUGAAAUGUGGCUAGUGCUACUAAGGAACUGAAUUUUCAAUUUUAUUUAAUUUUAAUAGAUUUAGAUUUAAAUAGACCACAAGUAGCAAGUGGCUGCCAUAUUCGAUGUCUCAGCUCCAGAAUAGCCCCGUGCUAAGAAUAACCAAGAGGCAAGCAAGAUUGGGUGUAAAAUGAUCCUGGGCUGUAAUAGGUCCAGAUAAGGGGGGGAGAUCACACCUCUCUCAUCACCUCCUGGUUAUUAAUUCCUGGUAUGUCAUCAGAUGGGAUCAGUUUAAAGGAACAUAAUGUAUGUAGCUCCCAUGACAUGCAAACCUUGUCAGAUUAUUAAAGCAAUAAGCUCUAGGGAGAAAAAUAACCGUUUGACUUUCUGGAAUAUGUGAUAAAAGUUCCCAGUCUUUUGUUUUUUAAUCAUAAAUUUUAACACUAUCCAUUAGGUUUGUCUGGAAAUUUCCAGAUAUAGGAAUAUCAUGUCCUCAUGCUUAUCAUUGAUAAGAUCCCAAUAAAACUAUUUGACCAUUGAUCCCAAAUUCCAUCAUCUGAGCCCAGCUCAGUAUCAUCCCAUCUCCCUCAGGAUAUCUGAGAAGACAUUGGACUGGCAAACGAGAAUCUGCAUGCUGUAAAUUGAGGAAGAAAUCCAACUAUCAAGAAAACAGCCACCCAGCACAUAUUAUCGAGUUAGAACAUUACGAAGAAAGAAAAAGAAAAUAACAACGAGCCACUCAACAACCAGAAGAGAUGUCACAAAAAUUAAGUUCUUGUCUUUUCCUAGAAGCAUCUUUCUAUCCUCCCUAACAACCACUUUACCUCUUGAUCAUAUUGUUUGUAAGCCCACAGCAAUUUAGAAA